rnacentral:rRNA from 1 species
UAGCUGGUCUGAGAGGACGACCAGCCACACUGGAACUGAGACACGGUCCAGACUCCUACGGGAGGCAGCAGUGGGGAAUUUUGGACAAUGGGCGAAAGCCUGAUCCAGCAAUGCCGCGUGAGUGAAGAAGGCCUUCGGGUUGUAAAGCUCUUUUGUCAGGGAAGAAACGGUAUGGGCUAAUAUCCCGUACUAAUGACGGUACCUGAAGAAUAAGCACCGGCUAACUACGUGCCAGCAGCCGCGGUAAUACGUAGGGUGCAAGCGUUAAUCGGAAUUACUGGGCGUAAAGCGUGCGCAGGCGGUUUUGUAAGNNGAAUCUGGCAGAGGGGGGUAGAAUUCCACGUGUAGCAGUGAAAUGCGUAGAGAUGUGGAGGAACACCGAUGGCGAAGGCAGCCCCCUGGGUCAAGAUUGACGCUCAUGCACGAAAGCGUGGGGAGCAAACAGGAUUAGAUACCCUGGUAGUCCACGCCCUAAACGAUGUCUACUAGUUGUCGGGUUUUAAUUAACUUGGUAACGCAGCUAACGCGUGAAGUAGACCGCCUGGGGAGUACGGUCGCAAGAUUAAAACUCAAAGGAAUUGACGGGGACCCGCACAAGCGGUGGAUGAUGUGGAUUAAUUCGAUGCAACGCGAAAAACCUUACCUACCCUUGACAUGUACGGAAGCCACGAGAGAUCGAGGCGUGCUCGAAAGAGAGCCGUAACACAGGUGCUGCAUGGCUGUCGUCAGCUCGUGUCGUGAGAUGUUGGGUUAAGUCCCGCAACGAGCGCAACCCUUGUCAUUAGUUGCUACGAAAGAGCACUCUAAUGAGACUGCCGGUGACAAACCGGAGGAAGGUGGGGAUGACGUCAAGUCCUCAUGGCCCUUAUGGGUAGGGCUUCACACGUCAUACAAUGGUACAUACAGAGGGCCGCCAACCCGCGAGGGGGAGCUAAUCCCAGAAAGUGUAUCGUAGUCCGGAUUGUAGUCUGCAACUCGACUACAUGAAGUUGGAAUCGCUAGUAAUCGCGGAUCAGCAUGUCGCGGUGAAUACGUUCCCGGGUCUUGUACACACCGCCCGUCACACCAUGGGAGCGGGUUUUACCAGAAGUAGGUAGCUUAACCGCAAGGAGGGCGCUUACCACGGUAGGAUUCGUGACUGGGGUGAAGUCGUAACAAGGUAGCCGUAUCGGAAGGUGCGGCUG